AUGCUCCCUAGCUCUGGGUGGCCCCUCUUACCUGCAAAUGGGAACACAUCCCCUGCAGGAAGACCCUGCCCUGUGCUCCUGGCGGGCAGGGGCGGCUACAGCCCACUUGGGCAGGCUGAGCGGUGCCCGGCCCUGUGUCUCAGCUCUGGCUCUUCCUGGGUCCAUUGCACUCAGCAGCCUUGCUGCAUCUCCCCUUCUCCCUCUAACCCUAGGCCAGGGUGCCCCAAAUCCCUAGAGGGGGCACAGUUCACUGCUGCCCUCCACUUGAGACCUCUCGGGGAGUCUCUGCUCCAUGUGCCAUUGGGACCACCUAGAGGUGGGAUCCUGACUACAGGCCGAGGGCAGAGGCCAGAGGGGCGGGGGUGGGGUGGGCCCUCUGGGGGCUCAGAAAGUGGGGUCAGCAUGGCGGUGAGCCCAAGGGGAUGGCUGUGGAAAGAAGUAGGGGGACACCAGCUGAGUCCCUGUGGGGCUGAGCACCUGAGUCUCCAGUGGGAGGGUGGAACUCCCAAGGGUGGGUGGGAACUAGGCAACCCCAGCAGGAAGCCCCAAGGGACAGGCCCUGACCCUGGGGAGUGCUUUGGGGAGGUGGUGAGCCUGGGUGAGGAGGAGAGGGCACGGCCAGUGAGGAGGAUGCCCCAGGGGAGAGGCAGAGUCCAGCAGGGGCUGGCCCAGGGCCACUUCGUGCUCUCCCACAAGGGCGGACAGAGGCGGUACCGGCGCCUCCUACAUCAGGCACGUCCCUGCGCGGCUCUGCCCUGUGGAGCAGCCAUCUCAGGGCACAUCAGGCUAGAAGCUUCUAGAAGUGCCCCUCGAUCAAGCCCACCCCUUCCCUGGCUUUGCUGUAAACCCGCCCCUUGGUCGAAUGCAACAGACCCUGGACGGGACCCUGCAGGAUGAGACGUUCUGCGAGCUAGCGGUUCUCAACAGGCAGCCAUUGUGUCCCCCUGGGGACAUGGGACCACCUCUGGAGGCACUGUGGGUUGUCACGACUUGGUGAGGAGGGCUCCUGCCAGGGCACAGGACACCCUGCCACAGAGGACGGCCCCCAUCAGAGGACGAGCCAGCUCCCGCUGUCACCAAGGUGGACAGAUGCUCCUGGCAGGCCUGGACAGUGGCCUGGACCUCAGCCGAGCGUGUUAGACAGGGAGGCAGGGGUGGUGUGAACGUGGGUUUGCUCUGGGAACACAAAUCAUGGGGUGGGGGCCUCGCAGGCCAGGACCCCCUGUGCCUGCUGCGUCCUGCUGUCCCGGAUGUACCUCAUCCCCCUGAAGAUGACAGUUGCCUGCUUAGCCUCACGAUGGGGCUGGUCUGAGAGCCAGUCCCAGCAGGCAGAUUGGAGACACAGCCACUGGGCAUCCGUGGCCAGGCCGUGCAUCUCCACAGGUACCCAGAACCAUGCCAGGAGUCCUCCAGGCAGGCACAUGACACUCACUGCGGUUGGCAUGGCCCUCUCUGAACCUGCGUGUGUGGAGGAUCUUCCAUAGGCACUUGACCUUAACCCCCCUUUACCGCCCUCACCUGCAGUCUGCAGGGUCAGGUCGUAUGUAGCAGCCAGGACGCUGGAGCUGGGCUUGGGCGCACGGUGAUGUUCGUCCUGUGCCCGUUCAGAGCCAUCCUUUCAUGUCCCCCAGGAUUGGGUUGGAGCAGAGUCCCCAGAUGUGGAACAUGCUGUUCCAGCUCCCAGAAGCCUUCCCAGUGCUGUGAGUCCUCGAGGGGGCUGCAAGGGGCAGCCACUUAUCUGUCCUGUGCUUCGGAGGGGAUUCUCUCAGGAGGGUCCAGAGUGCUCACCACAUCUUGCUCAUCUGGUCUCAUUAGCACAGGACCAUCGGUAGAGGGGGCCAGUGUGACAUUCUGGGGACAUUCAGCUGGUGUGGGUCUCUGGAUUAUUGUGAGAGGGCAGGAGGUUACCACAGCCCUGGGGAGGAACUGGAUAGGUUUCCUGUUUGCAUUCCAAGGGAGUGUGUCGGAUCUUCCUUCCAGACGGGGGAUGGAGGAGAAUGCUUGCCCAGCAGUGGCUUCGCUGCACAUCUGGGGCUGGGGAGCCCUCUCUAGCAAAGGCACCAUAUCUAGCUGGGUUAGACUCUGUCUCACAAGAAAAGGAGUUCCUUGUGCCCUUUAGGUCUUUAGAUGUGUCCCUAAUGUCCCCCAGUUUUGAUUUACUGUUUUGGGUGGGGACGGCUGCAGAGAUUUGCACUGGACUUACCCACUAUGACGGCCAAGGAAACGGUGUCUACCAUCAGGAAUGCCUGCUCUGUCUGUCCUGCCACAGGGGAGAUGACCCCUGGGCAAAUGCAGACUACAGGCUGGUGGAUCAGACCUCGCCAGAAUUCCACUGCUUACCUGGCUCCUACCCGGCCCCUCGCUCUCAUGGGAGCCCUGAGGACGCUUCAGGCUUUCAAAUGCCAGCAUCGCCCAGACCGCGUCCAGCACUUCUCAAGAUGUGUAUUUCCCUUGCUCCGUGUCCAGUCACCGAGGUCAGCGGCAGAGUCAGCCUUCACUUUAGUGAGUGUUCUUCGGGUUGGAAACCCAGUCAGCUCUAGAAACUGGGCAGAGCCGUGACUUUUUUGGUUUCAUUUAUUUAUUUUUGAGACAGAGUCUCUCUGUGUCACCCAGGCUAAAGUGCAGUGGUGAAAUCUUGUCUCACUGCAACCGCUGCCCCUCGGGUUCAAGCGAUUCCCCUGCCUCAGCCUCCGGAGUAGCUGGGACUACAGGCACGUGCCAUCACACCUGGCUAAUUUUCCGUAUUCUUGGUAGAGAUGGGGUUUCACUGUAUUAGCUAGGAUGGUCUCAAUCUCCUGACCUCAUGAUCCGCCUGACUUGUCCACCCAAAGUGCUGAGAUUACAGGCUCAAGCCAUCGCGCCCAACUAAUUUUUGUAUUUUUAGUAAAAAUGGGGUUCACUAUGUUGAGCAGGCUGGUCUUGAACUCCUGACCUCAAAGUGAUUCACCUGCCUCACCUCGCAAAGUGCUGAGAUUACAGGCUCGAGCCUCUGAGCCCGGCCAUGACUUUUUAUUGGAGCAAGUGCCCUUGGCCUCCCCAUCACACAGCCCUGAUUUCUUCUGCUCCUACAAGCUGAACAGCCUCUCUGGGCUGCCUGUCCCUCUCCCAGGAACUCGGUGUUCUAUCAGCUACCUCCAUUCCCCAUACAGCUCUGGUCCUUGGCCCCACUCCAGCCUGUAACUCAUUAGAGAGCUGCCUCCAGCGUUGGACAAGUGCUUCUGCCUGCCAUCACCCCCGUCCCUGUCAGCCAGUCCAGGGCUGUGACCGACCUCCGAUGUCUGUUCCAAAGGACGGCCAGCAUCCGUGGUGUCACAGGACUUUCGGUCCCCGUCUGCCAUGGCUGUUCUGACAUUCACCCCUCCUCACGGUGUCUCUCACUCUAGAAGCCUCUGGGCGGUGAAACAGUGCAGCGCACGAUGCUGUCUCCCGGGGUCCUCGUCCUCAGAAAAGGACCCACAGCCCUUGAGCUCUCCACCGUCCACCCCACGAUGCUUAUCCAGCCUGCCACGGCUGUGGGUCCCGGACUCCUUCGGGCUGUGGCCCCUCUGUCAGCCAGUGGCCCAGCACGCCCCCACCGGGAUACACUACAACUUAUACCAGGAGUGUCUCAGCAGGUCCUGGGGAGCCGGGGCAGGGGCCGGCCCCUCUCACAGAGGAGGCACGGUUUGGAGAGGUCCUGUUGCACCUGUUUCUUCCCGGCAGACGUGGGAGCCGGCCUCUCUGACCACCGCGUCUGUGCAUGUCUUCCCCGCCUCUCCGUGCAGCCUUCCACUUUUCUGGAGCUUCAUGGGUGGAACCAGCAGCCCCCCAGGACACCAUUCGCAAGGUUGUGCCCCCCAGACUCACCCACCCCGACAGUGCGGCCCUCCCCCUCAUCGUCUGCCGCCAGUGGCAGCGUGAUGGUGGCACCCGCUGGACAGAGCGAGUGCCUGGCCUGCACACCUCCCUUGUGCUGCCUGUCUGUGGCUGGCUCUGAAGCGGCGGACGGCGCCUCAGCCAUGUCCUGGGCUGACCCCAGAGCUGUGUGAAGCGAAACACCCUGAGCCUUCUCCCUCGUGCUGAGCCUUUGGCCCCUACUCACUGGCAAGCGGUGACCUUGGGUGGGGGGCCCUCCUUAGCCUGCCCCCACUGCUCCCUCAGCAUCCCCUGAUGCUCCCUCAGCCCCCCUGAUCCUCAGAGCCUGGGCCCUGUCCCUUUUCAGGUUCCCUGGCCCCCAAAGGCCUGGGGCUGGAACCCUGCCUGCCACCUGGGACAGGUGGUCAUCAGUGGGGCAAUCUGGGUGGGGGGGCCCUGCCGUCCUCCCCAUAUGCCCAAGACCAGCACCCGGAUGUGGACUGAGCCUGUGCCAGGUGAGCCCCAGGGGUUGGGGGCAGAAGGGCCCGGGUCCUGUGGGAAAGUCUGGGGUGGCAUCAGGGCCCAGAAAGGCUUACUGUGGUGUGGCGGGUGGGGGCCACUGGCUCUCAGGCCAUACACUCCCCUCCCCCAGCGCCCUGCCCCAGCUCCCUGGGGCUGGGGUCUUCCCAAACCCCAAGCCGGCUGCUCCCAGGCCCCAACCCAUGAGGGGCAAGGGGCCUGGCCUGAGGGGGCUGCAGGGCACCCCCCUCUCCAGAGACACCCUGCGCCCACUCCUGGUGGGAUCUUCUGUAGAUACCUUUCCUAACUGGCGAGCAGAGUCCGCUCUCCCCCAGGCCUGGCCUCUGGGACGAUCCCCCCACUCCACCCCCAAGCCAGGGAGGGGUACCUGGCCCCUCACCCCUCCAACAGCAGCCCAGGGCCAGCGUCCUGCGCCCACCCACCCCCCCCCCCCGUUCUGCCACCACCGGGCUUUCCGGGCCAUAGGGCGGCCACCACUCGAGGGUUGCCCGCGGGCCUCAGCGUCGCAGCUCGGGGAGGGGGCUGGUGGCCGGUGGUCCCGGCCAAUGGGGGGUUGGGGGCGGGUGGGGGGCGGGCCCCCUCCUGCCUCUGCCCGGCGCCAAGUCCUCGUCCGCGCGCUGCAGAGGAAGGGGCCGCGCCGCCGCCCCAGCCUGGACCCCGCCCAGCGCAGAUCGGGUCCGGAAGAACCCGGCAGGCGGCGGGACGCGGGGGGCGGUGAGGCUCCGCGGGCGGGAAGCGCGGGGCGCGGCCUUGCCGGGAAGGGGGCGGCGCCGGAAGCGUCGGCCGGGCUUUCCCCGGCGGGAGGGGGAGGGGAGGAGAUGGGGUGCGACGGGGAGGUGGGGGGGACGCCAUGGCGGGGCCGGGGGUGCGGUGAAGAGCGAGGCUGGGGCCCAGACGGGCAGGGGACUGGAACUGGGGGACGAGGGUCCGGGAAGGACCAGGCGUUGGGGGCGAAGGGGAUGGUGGGGGUCUGGGAGG
ensembl:lncRNA